CCAAUUUUGGCAUGAUUCCCUUGUGACUAAGUGAUUUAUACAAUAAUAUGUGGAGAUUAGCUUAAUAAGCUAAGGUACAAAAGGUCAACUGUCACGAAUUGAAACACAAAGAAACAAGUUGACUUGCCAUGGACCUGCCCAACUAAGUGGUGACUCAUCAGUUUUUGAGGUUGAGGAAAAAUAAUGAGACCUUAGUUCUUGUCUGACAAAAGGCACAUUUUUAAUUAUUUGAGCACAAAGGAAAAUCUGAAAUCAAAGACAAUAUUUUAAAAACACAUUUUCAUCUAUCAACACAUCUUUACAUGUACAUUCCUCAAGUGGUAACGAAAGAAUUUCACAGAAAAUAAAAGAAGCACAUCUUAAUAUUGACAUUCAGUUAUCAGUGUUUAAUGGAAUAGUGUGGCUUUUAGAAGAAAUCAAUGAGAAUAGUAAAAUGUACAAGAAUUUAGAGUGAUUCAGUUUGUUCUAAACACCAGGAAAGUUCAAAUACAAUUUUAAUGUUCAGGGAACAAAAUUCACUGCAUUGUAUCUUAUAUCUUCCCUUACUUUCUCUAUCUUCCCCUCUCUUAAUUUCUCACACUCACAAAUAAAAAAAUGCAAAUAUAAAUGGAAUUGCAUUAAAAAAUCUAUAAUGAUUGCAGUGAAAGUGGCUGGCUUAGUGGUGGCCAUGUUUCCAAACUUAAAAAAAGCAGUUUGUUAUAAUCCCCGGACCAGCUGGGAAAUGUAGUUCUUUUGAUAAAAAUAAGGCAAGUGAAUGGAGGCGAUUAUUUUACUGGGCAGCUCCCAGUGACCACUGGUAGAAAACUGUGGCUGUAAUGUAAUUGUGUUUAAUUGUAAAAUAUGUCCUCAGGGCAUUUGUGUGAAUGUUUGACCUUACUUACAUGCCACUGUGUGUGUGUUGUUAUCUGUAAGUUAGCGUGCGUCUGUGUGUUUAUAAGUUAUCAAGUGUGUGUGUGUGUGCUUGCACAGCGAUCUAUAAAGAGGGCUUGGUAGUGACAUUUAGAAUGGAUUCCUGAUACUCAACAGCCUGUUGUGUUUGUUGCCUCUGAGAAUGUGUUUAUACUCUUGACAGGUUGCCAGCUGCUCAACAGAUGUUACCCUCCCUUAGCCAGCCUCAUUUGUCAACCUUUCCUUCUUUAGGGCGAAAUGCAAGAAAGAACAACAAUGUCCAAUCACUGCAACAAAGAGUUGGCCUGCGCAGCGCAGUCGAGCCUGUUGGGUUUCAAACCUUGGCUGUCGCCGUGACGAUGCUAGGAUCACAUGUUCCCAGUGAACUGGAUUGUUCUGCGCUAGAGGCGAUGGCAAACGCAAAGUCUUCGUAGCCCAAUCACAAUCUGUCUUCUUUCCAUUGCUCUUUGUUUGCUCUGCGCUGAAUAAACGGUGAAACUACCGCAGUUGCGGAAUGCCCCUGGUUUCACGAGCCAAAGGAACCCACCUAAUUCAAUUCAGGAACCGCCAAACCAUUGUUGGUGACCCGCCAAAAUAAUGUUAGGCAAACUUUCUGAACCUAUUUUAAAUCGGCAGUCUGCUAACGGUUAAAUAUAUGUGAAAUAAACCGAAGUUACUGCAGGGGACGGCAAACGUCUGGCUACUGGCUUCCUUAACUCAUGGGAACUACUAAAAAGAAAAUGAAAAUGUGCGGCACUGACCUCAAAAACGAACACAAUUUAUUUAUAAAUUAAUUUAAACAGUUUGGAAACAGUCUGAAUCACUUGUUGUUUUGCAGCUAGCAUAGAAGGAACUACUAAGUGCGAUAAUUGAGGCGGCAAGGUCAGAUCGCGGGCAAGUGAUAGAGGAAGUCAGUGGCUUGUGGUCUGGUAACCAUUAGCUUCGAUGCUACAUGGAAUUAGCCCUGGGGUUUAUAUAUAAGGCGCAGACACAGUGGGUCGCGGAGGUUUAGGAGGGGGGGGGGACGACAACAAUCAGUCUCAUUGGAUGUAAUUACACACAGAGUAGAGCAAUUUAGAUGCAAGGGCCACGCAAGCACAACACAGACACAUUAUAAACUGCCAACUAGCAUCUAGGGAUAGCAUACCUGGGUCACACACUGACUGACGCAAAUUUUUUCACAAUAAUUACCGCAAAGGCUAAUGCUUUCCCCAAAUUAUCCGACCACUUUUUGUUUGUUGUCCUUUGUGUAGGCCAAGCCAAUUAGUAUUCAUUAUCGAUGAUGAAUUAAUAAAGUAUGACUUAUCAUUCAUUUUCUUUGAACAGGGUCUAUGGCAGCUUGUUUCAUGUCACAGUUAAAGCGGGGUCUCUACAGUUUGUCGCUGCGUUUUAACGUUAAUGAACGGCAGACAAACUAACGCUUUGCAUCCGUCGUUUAACAGACAGUUCAAAAUAUAAAAAAAGAACACAAACUUGCACAAACGCAUGUACAACCCACUUUUCUGUACACAACCUUGAAUGAAUAUCCCUCAAAUUAGAUAACAUGGAGAUAAAAAUACAUUCAAAUCAACUAGUCGGGAAAUGGGUUUGAUUGACAUGGUUACCAACUGUGUGAAUCAGUUGUACCUCUUGAGAGUUGAGUCUCUGGUCAGUAAUAGCGGUGACAUGUUCAAUCUGAAACUAUGUAACAUCAUUAGGUUCAGAGUGGUUUUAAUUUUUUUUUACAGUUGGCACGGCAUUAAAACAAAAGAGAAUUGGUUCAAAACAUUACGUCAGGAUUUUGAGAUAUUCCUUUCUUCGGAUUACGGGAUUUACUUUAGUGUUGUAAAAGGAAGUAUGCGUAUCAGUUUAUGACAUUAAACACAGGAAGGGGAUCGGGAAAAUGUAUGGAGUUUUUUUUCUGUUCCCAUCUCAUGAUCUGUUAGUGUGUGGGCGUAUGAGUGAAUGGGAGAAAGCGAGCGGGCGAGAGACAUAGGGAUUACACAGGGGCCUUUACUGUGAGUGUGUGGGUGAGUGUGUUUGUGAAUAGAAGAGCGAGCGGGCGAGAGACAUAGGGAUUACACAGGGGCCUUUACUGUCAGGUUAAACUAAUUGAUCGCUGCGUCCCUGGAGAGACAUCCGAGUGUGUAUGUUUGUCUGACCUCAUUUCACACACACACACACACACACACACACACACACACACACACACACACACACACACACACACACACACACACACACACACACACACACACACACUCUGAUGUAUCACUGACAGCUCCCAGAUGGUAGAGGGAGGUUGGACACGUUGGAUAAAUGUGUGUGUCUCUGUGUGUUUGCUAGAGAGAGAGGGUGAUAGAGAGACUACUGCCAUGUGUUCCGGACCCCUACUGUGUCUGCCCUAACAGUUUGAGUGAGUUAGGGUGCGUGUGUAGGAGAGACAUAGAGGCCUUUCAGGGGCGAGAUGGUUCCCUGUGCUGCAUGUUUCUUGUCUCUGGGUAUCUUCCCGAUCGCCCCAUGUCUCAACACACCAAACGUGCAACUCUCUCUUAAGUCAAUCUGUCUCUCUGUCUAUCCCUUGCUGUCUCUUUCUCUCUGUCUCUCUCAGUUUGUCUCUCUCUGUUUGUCUCUCCCUCUUUGCACUCCUGAUGAUAGUGCACGUUAACUAUAGUUCCCCUCAUGGGCGUGUGCGUUCGUAUGAGAAUGUGGAGGGACGGUGAGGCGUGUUUGCACGUGCAUCUGUCUGCACACGCCUACAUUUACAUUACGUCCUCGCUUGUUUUUGCGUAAACGCGCGAUUCUUUCAGAAGUCCAAGGCUUGCGGUAUGUUUGUGCAUGCAAAUGCUUUUAUUUGGGUUUCGUCGCACAUGUGUCUGUGUGUAUCUGUGUGUAUCUGUGUGCAUGUGUGUGUGUAUGUUUGUGUCUUUGGAUGCAGGUGUGUGUUUUUAAAAGGAAUGCCCUUUUAAAAACAGUCAUGAUUGACCUGCUUUGCAUGUCAAACAUGACGCACUGCAUACCACUCGUAAGAGAUAGAUAAAGAGAGAGAGUGAGAGAGAUAGAGUGGAAGUUUAGUCUCCAUCUCUCUAAUCCCUCUCGCUUUAGGUUAAAUUCUCCGCCAUUCAAAGCCCACAUCCUCUCUCCUCCCCCCUCUCGAUCUCUCCUUCCUCCUCCUUCCUUUGUUGUGUUCCUCCUUCUUUAAAACGGCAGAGUGAUGUCUUUCUCUGUGUCCGUUUGUUAUUCCAAACAGUCUUCAGAGUUUCAUUCUCAGGGACAAAGACGGGCCUGAGUCCUCUAGGGAUCCCUUCACACGCGCUACAGAGGCACUAGAGCGUCUCAAGGGGUUCAUUGGAGCUGUCUUACAAAGGAGGAGCUACUUGUAAAAAAAACAACAAAUAAGAACAAAAAUAUUGUAAAUCCCCGCAGGUCCUUUUUAGGCGUUUUCACUACAUGGUCCUUGUCACGAACCAAAAGGAUAAAAAAAAAAAGUAUAUUCCAUUUAUGCAUUUUCAUCUCCUGCGUGUUCAUUUUGCUUUGGUGUCGUUAGCGGCUUGAUUCGUUUUUCUUUUAUCGGAUAUCUUUGGAUCCACAGGCCGCCGGAAUUACCCACAAUCCUCCGGGAGAAGGGUGGGUCCAGUUGAUUUAGGCCACGGCUUUACAUUCCUCUGUCAGGGGUUAGAAUCACCCCCUCCCUCUGCUCCCAUGGGUGUCGGGUCCCGGUGCUUCCCAAAUCCCCGGGAUAACCCC
ensembl:lncRNA